CUGAGUAAUCCUAUUUUUAAGUGUAUUAAUGUCAGCAGGAUAAGGCCGCGGAUUCACCGGCCCCUCCACGGGCAUACGCCGCAAUUGAGUGUCCUCAUUGGGCGGAAGCUGUAAGUACAGGCCGUUGCUCUGACAUGCUCUAGCAUUGUUCAGACGCUGAAUACCCCAGUCACUUUCAAUGAGGUGAAAGCUGAAGUUAUACAACCUAUAAGAGUUAUGCUAAUUUACACUUGUUUACGAGUCCAACAUAAGUAGACAAAAAUAAGGGAUUUAAUUAAGAAUUUGAUGCUAUGUUGAUGCCACAUGCAAUAGAUAUUUUUAUAUUCUCUCAAGCAGCAGAUGUGUUUCUCAGGACUGUAAUUAAAGGAUAAUCAAGAAUGGCUUAAUCUCAUCUGAUUUGUUUAGACGUAAUUAUUGAUUAUUGAAAAAAUUUGUUAUUAUUGACAAAGUUAGCAUGAAAGUACAAACUUUAUAGAAUGAGAUAUGACCUUCGUAUGAUCUCAUUGACAUUGAUUAUGUUUAGUCACUCUGUACAACUGACAGUCCCUAGUAAGACCAGGAUCUUAGAAGCGUUUAACCAAUGUUAGACUGGUAUUAAAGUUGGUCAUUUGUGUUCUGUGAGUGUUUCUGAUCUUGCCUUAUCCUCUCCUCACACCUCCUUUUGUCUUCUCAAUCCCCACCUGACUGCUGUUUGCAUUGAUUGACCAGAUGAGGGCCUGAUUGAGAUGGGCCUGUUUGAUAGGACUGGUAAUGGAAGUGUGGGAAUGAUUCUCAGUGGGAUUGAGAAGGAGAGAGGGUUAGGAAACAACUUGCACACCAUGCCAACACAGGAGACAACAUCGUAAUGAGCCGAGCUGUGAUAAGAACUGAACGCUCGGCCUGUCAAACACAGCUGAUGUCCACAUGAGGGACCAAUCACUUCUAGAGAGAUGCUUUUUCCAUUAAGCUGAAGGAAGCAGCCCUGGCAGCCCCAUUUACAGCUGCCCAGCUCCGCCCCUGCUAUAAGCAGCUCCCACAUCACCCCGCAGAAACAAGAAAUUAACAUCAGCAUGACACUUUUUCAUUAGCCUGUCUCUCACUUUUAUUAGAAUUAUGCUACACCCCAAUCUUUCCACCCCUCCGGCUUCCUCUGUGGUUGCACCCCCUCCUCCUUUUACUGCAGUUUCAUUUUUGCGUGCAUGUCAGAGAAAGCCUUACCUUGAGCAUAUGUUGAGAAUUGCACCAGGGCGUCAUGAUUGAAGCCUGUUAAAACUGGCGUAAUUGAUGUAAAAUAUGACAUAUUGUCGCAGGCGGAGACAAAUCUUACAGCAUGUGGCCUGGGCUGGCAGUAUGUUUGAUUAAUGGAGAAGUGUCUUGUCCUCUCUCUCUUCUUCUCUGACUAACACACACACACACACACACACAUUCACGGCUGAUUUUAUGAAAAAUGAUUUUCGCAACGGCAUGUCGUCCCGACAAGCGAGCAGGCCGCAGACGGAAAGCGGUUAUUAGCUAGAAUCAUUAUCAAUAGUGAUAUUUUCAAACUCCAUUACGGCAAUCAGGCCGCGAAUUUAUUCAGUGCGUUUAGUUCAUUUGGCCAUAAUUGAUAAAUAAUCAAAAUUUAUCAAUGUACUUGCUCUGCGUUUUCACUAACAAUCAAGCAAAAGUGGCCCAUUUGCCACCUGACUUGGUUCAAAUUAGGGACUAAAUUGAUGAUCAAUUAAUCCUAGUCGGGACAGUACAGUGUCUUUGUGAGUGUGUGCGAGGGAAAUGGAGACAGAUGCAGUUAAAAGAUAGAUUAGCGUAGCGAUCAGGAAGGAGCUGAUGCAGUUUAGAGCUGCGGCUAACAAGAAUGCAGCUUUUCUGAGAUUGACAGUAGGUAAUCAUAAAAGAAGAGGCAAAAAACUGAAUUGGGAAUUUUAAUUUUAAAUUAAAUUUUGUGUGGAAUCUUAUAGAAGUGGGUUAACAUAUUACAUUUGUUUGUGUUUUACCAUUUCGUGUUGUUUCAAUAAAGUAGUGUUCAAAA